GAUGAACGCUGGCGGCGUGCCUAAUACAUGCAAGUCGAGCGAACGGACGAGAAGCUUGCUUCUCUGAUGUUAGCGGCGGACGGGUGAGUAACACGUGGAUAACCUACCUAUAAGACUGGGAUAACUUCGGGAAACCGGAGCUAAUACCGGAUGAUAUUUUGAACCGCAUGGUUCAAAAGUGAAAGACGGUCUUGCUGUCACUUAUAGAUGGAUCCGCGCUGCAUUAGCUAGUUGGUAAGGUAACGGCUUACCAAGGCAACGAUGCAUAGCCGACCUGAGAGGGGGAUCGGCCACCCUGGAACUGAGACACGGUCCAGACUCCUACGGGAGGCAGCAGUAGGGAAUCUUCCGCAAUGGGCGAAAGCCUGACGGAGCAACGCCGCGUGAGUGAUGAAGGUCUUCGGAUCGUAAAACUCUGUUAUUAGGGAAGAACAUAUGUGUAAGUAACUGUGCACAUCUUGACGGUACCUAAUCAGAAAGCCACGGCUAACUACGUG
rnacentral:rRNA from 1 species